rnacentral:rRNA from 1 species
CGCGUGGGUGACGUACCUAUCGGUGGGGAAUAACUGCCCGAAAGGGUGGCUAAUACCGCAUCUGUCCACUGAUUUGGUUUCAGUGGAGAAAGCCUUGCAAGAGGCGCCGAUGGAGCGGCCCGCGUCCGAUUAGCUGGUUGGUGGGGUAACGGCCUACCAAGGCGACGAUCGGUAGCUGGUCUCAGAGGAUGAUCAGCCAGACUGGGACUGAGACACGGCCCAG